UUAAGCAAGUUCUCUGACUUCUCCAUUUCACACUCUCAAUUUCAGAGGGGAUUAAAUGACACACUACUACUAGUAGUGCCCAGUGCUCAGUGGGAGAGGAGGCGUCGCCCUGCAGAAUAAGGAGGUGAAGGGAGACCUGGCCCGGUGCUGGCAUCCGACAAAGGCACAGGGAGGGAUGCACUGGACAGUCCAGAGGGGCAGGGAAGGCUGGGAAGUACAGAGGACUGGAACAGGUGAGGUUGCAAAAGCGACAUCCGGAGCCGGGCAUGGUGGCACAGGCCUGUAAUCUCAACACUUUGGGAGGCUGAGGCAGGAAAGUUGCAAGUUUGAGUCCUGCCCGGGCAAUUUAGCGACAUCCUGUCUCAAAAUAAAAAAUAAGGCCUGUAUGUAUAGUUCAGAGAGAAGACUCUGGGUUCAAUCCCCAGUACCAAACAAAACCAAAAACACAAAACAAACAAACAAACAAACAAAAAAUCCCCAACAACACGGCACCUAAAAGACCAGGCAAACUUCGGGGGAAUUCAGUCACCAGCACAGCCACAGGCACCCAUAGCAAUGCCACCUUCCGGGGUGCCUCACGCUGUCGGACGCAGGCGCAGUGAGGUGUGCGGAGGCGGGGCAUUGCCCCAGCUCCAACGGGCAGGGAAAGUCUCUGGCCCCGCCCCUCUUGAAAUCCCAGUGUGUUCUGAACUUCUUUCAGUCCACCUGCAGGUGAGUGUGACACAGGAGGAGACCGUGACACACAUCUGUCAGAGGUCCAGAAGACUAUUGCUGUGCGAAGUUGGACACCUGAAGUUUGGUGAGAAGUUGCAGGCAGAAAAUUUGGGAUCGGGCUCUUGA
rnacentral:lncRNA from 1 species